GACGAACCGUGCGAACGUUGUUCGGAAUCACUGGGCUUAAAGGGCGCGUAGGCGGGCAACCAAGUCUGAGGUGAAAUCCUCCAGCUUAACUGGAGAAGUGCCCCGGAUACUGGUUGCCUCGAGGAUGGUAGGGGCAUCUGGAACUAGCGGUGGAGCGGUGAAAUGCGUUGAUAUCGCUAGGAACUCCGGUGGCGAAGGCGAGGUGCUGGACCAUUUCUGACGCUGAGGCGCGAAAGCCAGGGGAGCGAACGGGAUUAGAUACCCCGGUAGUCCUGGCCCUAAACGAUGAGAACUAGAUAGUGGCCUUGAUAUGAGGUCACUGUCGGAGCAAAAGUGCUAAGUUCUCCGCCUGGGGAGUAUGGUCGCAAGGCUGAA
rnacentral:rRNA from 1 species